rnacentral:lncRNA from 1 species
GUAAACAGUAGACUGUACCCUAGAAAUGGAUGCAUGCUAACACACUAGUAGUCUAGUACUAAUAAUUUACUGGUUAUUUCAAAGUUAAGUUCUCUAAAUCUCCCAGUAGUUUGCAUCACUAGUUUAUCCUUGUAUAUUCUGCAUUUUAUGAAUAUUCUAUUGUGGCAUUAGUAUCUUUUCAUCUUGCACCUGACUUCCCUAAUCCCUUU